rnacentral:rRNA from 1 species
GCAGCACAGUAAGAGCUUGCUCUUAUGGGUGGCGAGUGGCGGACGGGUGAGGAAUACAUCGGAAUCUACUUUUUCGUGGGGGAUAACGUAGGGAAACUUACGCUAAUACCGCAUACGACCUACGGGUGAAAGCAGGGGAUCUUCGGACCUUGCGCGAUUGAAUGAGCCGAUGUCGGAUUAGCUAGUUGGCGGGGUAAAGGCCCACCAAGGCGACGAUCCGUAGCUGGUCUGAGAGGAUGAUCAGCCACACUGGAACUGAGACACGGUCCAGACUCCUACGGGAGGCAGCAGUGGGGAAUAUUGGACAAUGGGCGCAAGCCUGAUCCAGCCAUACCGCGUGGGUGAAGAAGGCCUUCGGGUUGUAAAGCCCUUUUGUUGGGAAAGAAAUCCAGCCGGUUAAUACCUGGUUGGGAUGACGGUACCCAAAGAAUAAGCACCGGCUAACUUCGUGCCAGCAGCCGCGGUAAUACGAAGGGUGCAAGCGUUACUCGGAAUUACUGGGCGUAAAGCGUGCGUAGGUGGUUGUUUAAGUCUGUUGUGAAAGCCCUGGGCUCAACCUGGGAACUGCAGUGGAAACUGGACAACUAGAGUGUGGUAGAGGGUAGCGGAAUUCCCGGUGUAGCAGUGAAAUGCGUAGAGAUCGGGAGGAACAUCCAUGGCGAAGGCAGC